rnacentral:rRNA from 1 species
UACGGAGGGUGCAAGCGUUAUCCGGAUUCACUGGGUUUAAAGGGUGCGUAGGUGGCUUUGUAAGUCAGUGGUGAAAUGCCGCAGCUCAACUGCGGAACUGCCAUUGAUACUGCUUAGCUUGAAUCACGUCGAGGUGGAUGGAAUAUUACAUGUAGCGGUGAAAUGCUUAGAUAUGUAAUAGAACACCGAUUGCGAAGGCAGUUCACUAGGCGUGUAUUGACACUGAGGCACGAAAGCGUGGGGAUCGAACAGG